rnacentral:sRNA from 1 species
CCAAGCUAGGCGACGGACCGACGCCUUACUUUAAACACUUUUGAUGAUCUAGGAUUUGAAGGAUAAAAGUUCAUUUUUACAAUGAAAUCGACUGGUAAUGCGGUCGUCUAAUUUUAAAAACAACUUUUGGCAACGGAUCUCUUGGUUCUCCCAUCGAUGAAGAACGCAGCGAAUUGCGAUAAGUAAUGUGAAUUGCAGAAGUGAAUCAUCGAAUCUUUGAACGCACCUUGCGCUCCCGGCAGAUCUAAUCUGGGGAGCAUGCCUGUUUGAGGGCCGCGAAUUGUUUCGAACGACAACUUUUUUCACAAAGAGUUGGCGGAUCGGUAUUGAGGGUUUUGCCAUUCACCGUGGCUCUCUCGAAAUGCAUUAGCGCAUCCAUUUGAUAGGCAAGACGGACGAAAGCUCCUCUUUCGCUCUCUCUUCCCUGCCGGGUUUUGAUAAUAUCAGGACUUCGGAGAGGUUGAGAUGGGUACGGAGCUGGACGCAACGGCUUGCUGUUUGGAGUGCUUCUGAAACCCGCCCAUGUCGAGCUUUUUUGCUCGAAAGGGAUUUACUAAUUCACAUCGGCCUCAGAUGGGUAGGACACCCCAUC